GACGAACGCUGGCGGCGUGCUUAACACAUGCAAGUCGAACGGAAAGGCCCUGCUUUUGUGGGGUGCUCGAGUGGCGAACGGGUGAGUAACACGUGAGUAACCUGCCCUUGACUUUGGGAUAACUUCAGGAAACUGGGGCUAAUACCGGAUAGGAGCUCCUGCUGCAUGGUGGGCGUUGGAAAGUUUCGGCGGUUGGGGAUGGACUCGCGGCUUAUCAGCUUGUUGGUGGGGUAGUGGCUGACCAAGGGUUUGACGGGUAGCCGGCCUGAGAGGGUGACCGGGCACAUUGGGACUGAGAGACGGCCCAGACGGCUACGGGAGGCAGCAGGGGGGAAUAUGGCACAAUGGGCGGAAGCGUGAGGCAGAAACGCCGGGUGCGGGAUGACGGCCUUCGGGUUGUAAACCGCUGUCGCCUGUGACGAAGCGGGAGUGACGGUAAUGGGUAAAGAAGCACCGGCUAACUACGUG
rnacentral:rRNA from 1 species